GUAAGGAUUAGCUAGUUGGUGAGGUAAUGGCUCACCAAGGCGACGAUCCCUAGCUGGUCUGAGAGGAUGAUCAGCCACACUGNAACUGAGACACGGUCCAGACUCCUACGGGAGGCAGCAGUGGGGAAUAUUGCACAAUGGGGGAAACCCUGAUGCAGCCAUGCCGCGUGUGUGAAGAAGGCCUUCGGGUUGUAAAGCACUUUCAGCGAGGAGGAAAGGUUGGUAGCUAUACUCCANCUGUACGUUCUC
rnacentral:rRNA from 1 species